GACGAGGGAUCCAAGCGUUGUUCGGAAUUAUUGGGCGUAAAGCGGAUGCAUGUGGCUCUAUAAGUCAGGUGUGAAAUCCCAGGGCUCAACCCUGGAAGUGCAUUUGAUACUGUAGAGCUUGAGUGCUAGAGAGGUAAGUAGAAUACCUGGUGUAGUGGUGAAAUGCGCAGAUAUCAGGAAGAACACCCGUGGCGAAGGCGGUUCUCUGGGACGGUACUGACGCUGGAGACGCGAAAGCGUGGGAGCGAACAGG
rnacentral:rRNA from 1 species